rnacentral:lncRNA from 1 species
UUUCUAUUGUUAGCAAAAUAUCUAAUUUUCUCAAUAACUUAUUUGGUUUCUGCACUAUAAUCAUUUUUUAUUUUUUUCACAAAAAGCUUAUGCGGCAAAAUUUUCCUCGUUUUCCUCUUUUGGCCUAACCCCUCCUUUUUUUGUUCCAAACUUCCCAAAUUUCAACGCUUCAGAGCUGCUAAGUAGGAACGGAACGAUGAUCGGCCUUCCCUCAAUCGACAUUAGGGUUUGAAAUGGUAAGCUUCUUCAACUCUCUCCAGUUACAGUUAUUCAAGCUUAGGGCAUUGAUUUCUCAUGUAAACAUACAGAGCUUAGGGCUUUCCGCAAUUUGAAUGCGUCGUCCCUGGAGAGACGAACUUAAUGACUUAGAAUGCUAGAUCUGAGAAUUCUCAGAAUAAAUCAUCUAUUUAAUAUCAAAAUUAGUAUUUCUAAUAUGUGUUUCAAUAUAAAAAGGACCGACUUUUUUCAAAGUAUAAGUAGGCUACGACAUAACCUGCUUUGGAGGGUAUCACAAAAACGAUAGAGCUUCGCGGUGUAGAUCCCUUUGACGCCAUUUUCACGAUAGUCAUGUUUCUCUUUUCCUUCAAGUGAGAUUCCUUUCUACUUUCAUCAAUACUCCUAAUAUAUUAUUCUCUUGACUAGUUAUCUUGUUCAAUUAAAUUCUUCCAGUGCUACAUUAAAGAGUUACCAUUCCAUCAAACCAAAAAUUAGGGCUUGAAACUCUAAGCUAGUUUUAUUUAAGUUUCAGUUGUUUUACUGGUAGGUUACAUUUUGGAAAAUAGCAAGUUUUGUCCUAAUUCUCAUGGGUACACUCCCUCCGUUAGCAUAUUCAAUACGAGUUUCAGUAUAUUAGAGUAAUGUUUGGAGGUUGAUGCCUUGUUUCCAAGUUGGUCUUUGCUCUUUGAUCGUAUUUAUAUGUUUCUAAUACCUUACUAGAUUCAUCUUCAAUGACAUAUUUGUUGGGAAGAGUAAGGAUUUAGUGACACUCUCAGGAACUCUAUUAGAGGUAAGCUCUAAAUAUGAACUUGGAGAUGAAUUCCUAUUCAGAUUCGUAUAGAAGUUGAUCAAAUUGUUGUAGAACAUUGGCAGUACAAAAUAUUGGUCUUUGAUUCAUUUCUUUGAAGUUUCUUUAUUUCUUCAUUUCAAAUGUAUUCUGAAAGUUCUUUAGUGGACUAUCUUAGUACUUCAGUUUAAGCAAUAUGCAAAACUAUUUUCCUUACUUGUGGUAUAGAUAAUAUUAUAAGAAUGCUUGCAUCUUGUGUUGUGUAGUAUUAUAAGUAUAAACAUACAUGUUCGAUAUCUAUGUUGGUAUGAAAAACCUAAGGUUAUGCAUUUCUUGGUAAUAGAAAGCAUAGUUUACUUUUAAUGGUCUCUUGUGUAUGGUGAUGUGGAUUUUCAAGUUAAUGUCCUUGGUGAUGCAGUCAUCUGGUGUAGAAUUUUAUUUUCCCACCAAAUUCUCUGAAUUUAGGCAACUUCUAUUGAACUUGACAAGCUUUUGUUUGGGACACAUAGAAGUGAAUGAAGUUUUUAUUGUAGAGAUGUAGACCUUCUGUCACCUUUGUUCACCUUGUGUAGCUAAUUUUAAUGUAUUAAAAUUGAAGUCAAAUAGGUUCAAUUGAAUUCGGUUAAAAUUUUAUAUUCCACUCGAUAAAGCACUUUAGUAUUGUUUAUCUAUCUGCUAUAUCAUUUUUUAAUCUGAAAGUUCCUUUAUGUUUUCGUGAAUUCCAGUAUAUCUUGUGAUGUUUGUUUAUGGGACUGACCUAUGGACAUAUUGAGAAUGAAUAUGAUUAGUAAAUUUAUUAUCAGCUUCCAACUACUGUUGAUUUCCAUUUUCUAAUCGUUAUGUUGUUCUUGUUAUUAUCAGCUUCCAACAAAUCUGUUUUCUUGUUCAACAUUUUGGGGUCAACUGCCACCUAAUUUUUCUAACUCUCGAGUAAAUCAGAUAUAUUUAAUACAACUUACUAUUUUAUAGAUUAUUGUAUUUAAUUUCAUAUAAUAUCCAUGAUUGAAGGAUUGAUUAGAUUUUAUAAAUAUAUAAUUAUCAAAUAAUUGCUAAAUACAUGUAGUUGCUAUUAUAAGUAGAAGAGGAGGCAUAGAAAUAACACUGAAAUAUUUCCAAUGCCUUUAAAACUGACAACUGUUGUAAGGGAUUAACAAAAUUCUAUUUCUUUUUCUUUCUCCUAAUUUUGAAAGCUGGAUGUGUUCAUAUGUCUUUUUGACCUUCGGAUUGAUGGAAAUAAUUUAGCUAUUUUCACUUAGAAAGAAAAAAAAAUGAUGAAACCCAACUAAAACUACAUUUGCUACAUCUUUAGUGACAAGCUCUUUGUGUUUUGCUCAUUUGAUGUUUGGAUACAGAGAAUAGAGUUGGUAAAAUCCGAAACUGUCUUCCUGAAAUUACAGUGAACCCUUGGGACAGUAAAUAAGAAUUGAAAUGUUAGGUAUUAACAUUAUAGACAACAUCAUUCACGGACUAGUAUAAUAUUUCAAUGGUGUCAUGCAUAAAUGAGUCAGGAAAGAAGACUUGAAUUCACAAGCAAUUGUCUGCUAGCUUCUUGAUAGAAAAGGCCAUUUGACUGCUUAAUAUGUGUUAUCUUAAUCACAGGUGUAUGUUACACAAGUGAGUGCCUUUUUAUUUUCUGAAACUUCUAUCUUCUUUUUUUCUAUCAGUAAAUUGAAUGAACGAGGAUAAAAAUAAUACUAUAUAUAAUUGCUCUUUUAAUUCACAUCAGGUUUGAUUCUAAUAUGAGAAAGCCUACAAAGAUUACUUUUUCAUUUUUAUAGUUAGUAGUUAAGAAAAUAUUGAUAGAGUUUAUGCUGCCAAAUAGAGUAGUUUGUGGAUGUAAAUUGUGAUGAUAUACUAAGAAUUGGUAAACUUUCACUUAUGUUAAAGUUGUAAUGAUAAAGUUCAAUUGUAAUUUAGAAAUUACUACUAAUAUAUAUGAUCCAUAUUUUUUUUACAUUAUAAAAAGUAUUUUGAUUUUUUUUUUUUAUAAAUAGAUGCAGAUUCAACUUAAAUCAAGGAAGGUUGUGCAAAAGCUAGAUAAAGGUCUCAGAGAAAUAAAGAAGUUUUUAGGAGAAAGAUGAUUUUAGAGAUCCUAGUUGGUAAAUGGACGUCAGGCAAUUUCAUCAAAGAGAAAACAAGUGGAAGGAACUCACAAAAGAGGAAAAAGUUGCAACAUUGAUUAGAUUGCAUAGUACUUUUCAAGAUAAUCAAAUUUUUAUUGUAGAAUAUAUUAGUUCAUCAUAAAUGCGACAAAAAAUAGUCUUUGUCCCAAAUUGCCUCAUCAGUAAUACAAUAUUUUUGACUAUUGAAUUAUCUUUGUAUUUUUUUUUAGAAUUGUAAUGGUCACUAAUCAUGACGAUUUAUAUUUACAUUUUUGUUUUGUCGCUAAAAUUAAUAUUUUAGUGACGAGAUGAUACUUUUUACUACAAAAUUGUAAACCUUAUUUAUAAAAGCAAAUACGUCGCUAAUUUAUACAUUUAGGGACGAAAUACUUU